GAUGAAGAACGCAGCGAAAUGCGAUAAGUAAUGUGAAUUGCAGAAUUCAGUGAAUCAUCGAAUCUUUGAACGCACAUUGCGCCCGCCAGUAUUCUGGCGGGCAUGCCUGUUCGAGCGUCAUUUCAACCAUCAAGCCCCCGGCUUGUGUUGGGGACCUGCGGCUGCCGCAGGCCCUGAAAAGCAGUGGCGGGCUCGCUGUCACACCGAGCGUAGUAGAUUUCAUCUCGCUCAGGGCGUGCUGCGGGUUCCGGCCGUUAAACCACCUUCAUAACCCAAGGUUGACCUCGGAUCAGGUAGGAAGCCCCGCUGAACUUAAGCAUAUCAAUAAGCGGAGGA
rnacentral:misc_RNA from 1 species